rnacentral:rRNA from 1 species
UACAGAGGGGGCAAGCGUUGUUCGGAAUUACUGGGCGUAAAGGGCGCGUAGGCGGCGUGGUAAGUCACUUGUGAAAUCUCUGAGCUUAACUCAGAACGGCCAAGUGAUACUGCUGUGCUCGAGUGUGGAAGGGGCAAUCGGAAUUCUUGGUGUAGCGGUGAAAUGCGUAGAUAUCAAGAGGAACACCUGAGGUGAAGACGGAUUGCUGGGCCAACACUGACGCUGAGGCGCGAAAGCCAGGGGAGCAAACGGG